rnacentral:rRNA from 1 species
AGCUAUUCUCGAAGAUUAAGCCAUGUAUGUGCCAAGUUCAAACGUUAAACGUGAGACUGCGGACGGCUCAGUAAAUCAGUGAUAAUCUAUUUGAUUUUCUCUCCCAUUGGAUAACCGUGGGAAAUCUAGAGCUAAUACGUGCGGUACAUUGGUGUCCUUCGGGUACAUCAAAGCAUUUAUUAGACUAAACCAACUAUUAUGCUCUUGCAUAGUAAGGGGAAUCUAGAUAACUUUGCUGAUCGUAUAGCCUAGUGCUGGCGACGUUUCAAUUGAGUUUCUGCCCUAUCAACUUGUUGGUAAGGUAUUGGCUUACCAAGGUUGCAACGGGUAACGGGGAAUCAGGGUUCGAUUCCGGAGAGGGAGCCUGAGAAACGGCUACCACAUCCAAGGAAGGCAACAGGCGCGCAAAUUACCCAAUCUAGACAGUAGGAGGUGGUGAAGAGAAUUACUAAAUGGUGGUCCAUUGGAUCACUUGUUUGGAAUGAACGUAACUUAAGAAAUUCGUUGAGAAACAACUGGAGGGCAAGUCCUGGUGCCAGCAGCCGCGGUAAUUCCAGCUCCAGUAGUUUGCUUUAAAGUUGUUGCGUUUAAAACGCUCGUAGUUGGAUCACGAAGUGACUUUCAGUAAUCUCUUGUCGACGUUGACUUUAGCUUUCGUCUCGUACGAUCUAUUGGCGCGUUGACAUUGGAUAAUACGCUGGAAGUUACUAGUUGCACGUGAGAUAGGAUGUUGGCCUUGAAUGAGCCGGUAUUCUGGUCUUGCGGGGUGUGCCUUGAAUAAAACAGAGUGCUUAAAGCAGGUUAUUGCCUGAAUGUUAUAGCAUGGAACGAACAAUAGUGUAUAUGUGUGCGUCUUUGGAUCAUUGUGAGCCUUUGGUUUGCAGUGGUUCAUGAUGCGCACGGCACCCACCAAAAUAUGGCUGUUGGUUCCAUAUACGGUGAUGAUUAACAGGAGCGGUUGGGGACAUUAGUAUUUGGUCGCGAGAGGUGAAAUUCUUAGACCGACCAAGGACUAACAAAUGCAAAGGCAUUUGUCUAGACCGUAUCUAUUAAUCAAGAACGAAAGUGGGAGGUUCGAAGACGAUCAGAUACCGUCAUAGUUCCCACCGUAAACUAUGCCGACCUGCGAUAAGUUUAGAGAUGUUACAAGCUCUAGAUUUGUCGCUCUGGGAAACCUAAAGUUUUUCGGUUACGGGGAGAGUAUGGUCGCAAGGCUGAAACUUAAAGGAAUUGACGGAAGGGCACCACCAGGGGUGGAGCCUGCGGCUUAAUUUGACUCAACACGGGGAAACUUACCUGGUCCGGACAUCGAUAGGAUUAACAGAUCAAUAGCUCUUUUAUGAUCCGAUGAGUGGUGGUGCAUGGCCGUUCUUAGUUCGUGGAGUGAUCUGUCAGCCUAAUCGCGGUAACGAACGAGACCACAGUCUCUAUUUAAGAGAUGAAAGCAGUCGUGUAAUCACUAAUGCCUUAUGGGUUGCAGUGGUUACAUGACGUCGGUAGAGUGAUGUGCUGCAUGGACGAGUGCAGAAAGGUUACGAUUUGCAUUCCCUGUGUAGUGUGUUGCUUCUCCCUUUUAUCGCGCAACAGUUGGUUUCGAUUAGCUGUUGUCUUAUGGAGAGACAACGAGGUAUAUACAAGCUCGAGGAAGAGUGGCUAUAACAGGUCAGUGAUGCCCUUCGAUGUUCAGGGCUGCACGCGCGCUACAAUGAUAACGACAGCGAGUGUCUGCGUCGAAAGACGUGGGUAAUCUUUAAUCGUUAUCGUGAUGGGGAUUGACCGUUGUAAUUGUCGGUCAUGAAAGAGGAAUCCCUAGUAUGCGCAUUUUAUUAGAAUGUGCAGAUUGAGUCCCUGCCCUUUGUACACACCGCCCGUCGCUACUACCGAGUGAAUGGUGUCAUGAUGCGUUGGGAUUGUGCAUUAGAUGGGUCUCACGACUCGUCCGAUGCUGAGAUCAGCGUAAAAUGGCGCAAUUUCGAGGAAGUAAAAGUCGUAACAAGGUUUCCGUAGGUG